rnacentral:rRNA from 1 species
GACGAACGCUGGCGGCGUGCCUAAUACAUGCAAGUAGAACGCACAGUUUAUACCGUAGCUUGCUACACCAUAGACUGUGAGUUGCGAACGGGUGAGUAACGCGUAGGUAACCUGCCUGGUAGCGGGGGAUAACUAUUGGAAACGAUAGCUAAUACCGCAUAAUAUUAAUUAUUGCAUGAUAAUUAAUUGAAAGGUGCAAUUGCACCACUACCAGAUGGACCUGCGUUGUAUUAGCUAGUAGGUGAGGUAACGGCUCACCUAGGCGACGAUACAUAGCCGACCUGAGAGGGUGAUUGGCCACACUGGGACUGAGACACGGCCCAGACUCCUACGGGAGGCAGCAGUAGGGAAUCUUCGGCAAUGGACGAAAGUCUGACCGAGCAACGCCGCGUGAGUGAAGAAGGGUUUCGGAUCGUAAAGCUCUGUUGUAAGAGAAGAACGGGUGUGAGAGUGGAAAGUUCACACUGUGACGGUAUCUUACCAGAAAGGGACGGCUAACUACGUG